UGGCAAGUGCUCCUGGAACACUUUGCUGCAGGGAAGUCAUCUGACGUUGGAAUAAAUGGGCUCCUCAGUGCUGGGAUGGUGACCAAGACCGGAAGGGAGCGCAGGGGACAUCGGGCCGGAUCCAGGCAUUGUGUCCUUGGGUGCGAUACCCCGCCGGCACCGAGUGACAACAUUUCUCCAUGAAACGUCUCAUUAGCUACCAGGGCCGGGAUUUUGGUGAGCUGUAACUCAGUGGAAAGCACUGGAAUCUGGCCCGGAAUAACCUCCCUCCAAUUUCUCCCUCCGUGGAGCUGCAGGAGCCUUUCUGCACCCCCAUUCUGCAUGGCCAAGCCCAGAUCCCCCGAGACCAGUCCUGUGCACAUCCCGAUCUCAGCACCAGCCCAUAAAUCUUGCUGCUGGAUGCAGGCAGUGAAAUAUGAACAAAGGAAACCACCAUGCAGUGCAGGGGUAGGGUGGGGAAUCGCUCUGGCACCCUCGUUGCUCGGAAAGAAGUGAGAAAACAUGGCUUUGUGUUGCUGUUGUUGUAGUUGUUGUUUUAUGGUUUCUACAGAUGCUUCCAAUAAAAGAAUUAUGAAACUAUUCCCAUCGGUGGCCUGUCCUCUACCCGCAGUAGUGACGGAGAAGUUUGCUGGAUUUCCGUCAGCAGAACAGUUUGAGUGUGGACUCAACUGCUGCAAAUUUAGGAAAGCUCUCCAUUUGCUGCCUGCCAGGGAAACAGAACUGUUACGCAUGGCCCCUCCAAGACUUACACAAAACAAGCAGAGCUGAUGUGUGAGAGCUGGAGUACCUGUUUGAAAAACCAAAUGGGCUGAAAAGGAUGUGCUCACUUCUUUCAUAAAAUAUUGUUCUAAUGCGUAGGGAAAAUAACUCACAAGUGAAACCCUGCAGCACACAGUGCAUUUUCUUCUGCUAUGUUUCUUAAUUAAGUGGGGAUGAGUGAGUUUCCUGAUGGUGGAAAGCAGGUCUGCAGAGAAUUACAGGGCACUACCUCAAGAUAAACCCCUUGUAAAUCAGAAGAGAGGAGAUACCAUGGUGCUAUUGAAAGGGAAGGUUCUUGAGUGAAGCAG
rnacentral:lncRNA from 1 species